rnacentral:rRNA from 1 species
UACGUAGGGCGCAAGCGUUGUCCGGAAUUAUUGGGCGUAAAGAGCUCGUAGGCGGUCUGUCGCGUCUGCUGUGAAAACUCGGGGCUUAACCCCGGGCCUGCAGUGGGUACGGGCAGACUAGAGUGCGGUAGGGGAGACUGGAAUUCCUGGUGUAGCGGUGAAAUGCGCAGAUAUCGGGAGGAACACCGGUGGCGAAGGCGGGUCUCUGGGCCGUAACUGACGCUGAGGAGCGAAAGCAUGGGGAGCGAACAGG